ACGGCUCAGUAACACGUGGACAACCUGCCCUUAGGUUGGGUAUAAACCCGGGAAACUGGGUAUAAUACCCGAUAGGUCUCGAUUGCUGGAAUGCAUCGAGAUUUAAAGCUCCGGCGCCUAAGGAUGGGUCUGCGGCCUAUCAGGUAGUAGUGGGUGUAGCGUACCUACUAGCCUACGACGGGUACGGGUUGUGAGAGCAAGAGCCCGGAGAUGGAUUCUGAGACACGAAUCCAGGCCCUACGGGGUGCAGCAGGCGCGAAAACUUUACAAUGCUGGCAACAGCGAUAAGGGAACCUCGAGUGCCAGGUUACAAAUCUGGCUGUCGAGAUGCCUAAAAAGCAUUUCAUAGCAAGGGCCAGGCAAGACCGGUGCCAGCCGCCGCGGUAACACCGGCGGCUCGAGUGGUAACCGUUAUUAUUGGGUCUAAAGGGUCUGUAGCCGGCCGGAUAAGUCUCUUGAGAAAUCUGGCAGCUUAACUGUCAGGCUUUCAGGAGAUACUGUCUGGCUCGAGGCCGGGAGAGGUGAGAGGUACUUCAGGGGUAGGGGUGAAAUCUUGUAAUCCUUGAAGGACCACCAGUGGCGAAGGCGUCUCACCAGAACGGACCUGACGGCAAGGGACGAAAGCUAGGGGCACGAACCGGAUUAGAUACCCGGGUAGUCCUAGCCGUAAACGAUACUCGCUAGGUGUCGGCCACGGUGCGACCGUUGUCGGUGCCGUAGGGAAGCCGUGAAGCGAGCCACCUGGGAAGUACGGCCGCAAGGCUGAAACUUAAAGGAAUUGGCGGGGGAG
rnacentral:rRNA from 1 species